rnacentral:lncRNA from 1 species
CUUUAAAGUACCUGAGCACCGAAUAAUGUUACCAAGAUGUUGGACAAUGGCUGUUCCAGCCUAACCCAUUAAAACAGUACCAAUCAAAGAAACAAACUAGUAAGAGAACUACUAAUCAGGAUUACCUAAUUCAUCGAGUUGCUCUCCUCCACUUUGUAUUUCUCUUGUCCAAAGGUUUCUUUUUACAAAGCAGAAACUACAAUGGGCAAAGUAGACAGGGAUUCUGAAGCCAUUGAAACAGGAAAGGGAGAACAGACCUCAUCAUAAAGAAGUAGUUAUGUUUCUGAGAAAGAUACCCAAAGGUAUAUGUGUGGUCAAAAAUCAGAGAAAGGACUGGAAGAGCUUGAAGGGGCUGGAGACCCCAUAUGAACAACAAUGCCAACCAACCAGAGCUUCCAGGGACUAAGCCACUACCCAAAGACUAUAUAUGGACUGACUCUGGGCUCCAACCUCAUAGGUAGCAAUGAAUAGCCUAGUAAGAGCACCAGUGGAAGAGGAAGCCAUUGGUCCUGCCAAGACUGAACCCCCCAGUGAAGUUCUACCUGUAUCCGUGGAGGUCAGCUCUAACUGGACACAUACAAGAGGUCUAUUUAAACUGGAGUCAUACAGCUGCAACCUCCCAGGAGAUCUGUUCUAAUGCAUCAGGCCAACCAACCUUAGAAACAACUAGAUGUCAGAAGGCAAUGUCAAAAGCUUAACCAAAAACCAGUAUAUCCACCAACAUAGGAGAACAUAUACUAACCAGG